AUGCGGCCACUCCCGGCGUUCACGAUCUCCCGCCUCGCCGCCGUCCGCGCGGACCCCUGCGGCGUCCCGCUCCCCGUCUUCAACUCUCUCCUCUCCAGCCUCGCCACCUCCGACCCCUCCCACGCGCACCUCCCGCUCCACCUCUUCCGCCGCCUCCUCCUCCUCCGCGCCCGCCGCCCGGACGCCUUCACGCUCUCCUCCCUCGCCUCCUCCUUCCUCCCCCUCCACCCCUCCCGCCCCCGCUCCCACGCCGCCGCCUCCCUCCACGCCUUCUCGCUCCGGCUGGGCCACCUGCACGCCGACCCCGUCCUCACCAACUCCAUCCUGCUCCUCUACCUCCGCUCGCCCCACCGCACCCCCGCCUCCGGCACGGCGCUCCGCCUGUUCGACGAAAUGCCCGCCCGCACCGCCUCCACCUACAACACGCUCAUCUCCCACGCCCCCGCGGGCACCGACCUCCGGUCCCUGGCGCGCCGCAUGAUCGCGGACGGGCUCUGCCCGGACAGGUUCACGGUCUCGGCGCUCCUGUCCGCGUGCGCGUCCGAGCGCGACGGUAGGGAGCUGCACUGCUUCGCCGUCAAGCGCAGGAUGUGCGGCGACGGCGAUUUCCACGUCAGCAGCGGGUUUGUCUCCAUGUACUGCAGGGUCUCCCGGCCAGGCCUUGCGCGCCGGGUUUUCGACAGGAUGCAGCAGAGGAAUGUCGUCUCGUGGACCGCCAUGGUGGGAGGGUAUGCGGAGAAUGGCAUGUUUGAGGAUGCCGUGAAGGCUUUCCGGGCAAUGUGGGUGGUUGAUGGUAUUCUGCCGAAUAGGGUCGCGUUGAUCAGUGUGCUCUCGGCUGUCGAGGGCCUCAUGGGCUUAGCAGAGGGUAAGCAAGUGCAUGGUUUCGCCGUGAGGAUGGGGCUAUACGGGGAGGUGUCCCUCAACAAUGCUUUGGUUGAUAUGUAUGCAAAGGGCGGAGCCUUGCGUCAUGCAAGGCGCAUUUUCGAUGAUGGUACUUGGCACAAAGAUGUCAUCUCAUGGGGUUCAAUGGUGCUUGGUUAUGGCCUUCAUGGUAUGGGUACGGAAGCAGUUGCCUUGUUUGAUCAGAUGCAUGCUUCUGGGGUUAAGCCAGACAGCAUAGUUGGUCUGGGCGUGCUUUCCGCGUGCUGCAGGGCAGGAAUGGUGUUGAAGGGACUCGAGAUAUACAACUCCCUGGUGAAGGAUCACAAAGUCCAUCCAACCGAGGAGAUGUCUGCUUGCGUAGUUGAUUUACUGGGGCGUUCUGGGUUGAUUGACCAUGCCUUGGACUUCAUAAAGUCAAUGAGCAUAGAGCCAGGCCCUAGUGUAUGGGGAGCACUUCUGGAUGCCUCUGUUAUUCACAGUAACAAAGAAACUCAAGAUUUGGCUUGCAGGUCUCUUCUUAGAUUGGAAGAAGAGAGCUCAUCAAAUCUUGUCUCGGUAUCUAACCUACACGCCUCUUCUGGUAGGUGGAAUAUUGUUGAACAAGUGAGGGCAAAGAUUAAACACGGAACAUUGAAGAAAACACCUGGUCGCAGUUGGGUAAAUGCAGCAACAUAG
rnacentral:rRNA from 1 species